GCCUUCAUGGCUCAGCUGGUUAGAGCGCAGGUCUCAUAGCAAUAUGAGGUUCGGUCUUCGAAUCGCAAUCCUGAGGUCGUCAGUUCGAUCCUGACUGAGGGCA